GUAUGCUAGUGCAGACAUCGCGGGAUGUGUUGGCACUGUGUCAGCACCUGGAUGUUGCACAACAGUCUACACUGGCAUCCUUGCCUCUAGCAGAAUGAAGGGGCCCAAGAGGGAAAGGACAUAUGGCUUGGUUACCUCCAGUCCCCACAAUGGAGUGGGUGUAAAGGUAGGCAAGGUUGACCUCAAACCUGUAUGUAGCUGACGAGGAUGUGGAACUUAUGACACUAUUGCCUCCCUCUCCCUAGAGUUUGGAUCAUUGGUAUGUGCUGACUUUUCACAACCACAUUCUGAAUGUCUCUUUCAUGUCACAUUCCUGACUAGAGUCUUAAAGAGCCCACCAAAGCUAGUCACAGGAUCAAGUUCCAGUGAGAGUCUGGCCACUUUCUGGAAACCCCUUGCUUGGCCUCUGGAUGUUGUGACUUCAGCGCUUAGAUUGGUAUCACCUGUCCCUUCUGUUGAUAAAGUCAGCAGGAUGAAGUCAGACUGGAAGGCGGUGGGCUCCUAAUCCAUUAAGACCUGUCUUACAAAAGAAGGGAAUUUGGACUCAAACACAGGAAGAUGUGAAGACGAAGGCAAAGAUCUACAAGACAAAGCAGACCAAAGGUCACCGACCAACCAAUGGAAUCCAAGCCAAGGCCAGAAACACAUCAUCCCAUGAGUCUUCAGGGGCAGAAGGUCCUGUCAAUACCCAUGUCUCGGACUCCUGUCCUUUGGAC